UACGGGGGGGGCAAGCGUUGUUCGGAAUUACUGGGCGUAAAGGGUUCGUAGGUGGCCUGCUAAGUCAGACGUGAAAUCCCUCGGCUCAACCGGGGAACUGCGUCUGAGACUGGCGGGCUCGAGGACAGGAGAGGAACGCGGAAUUCCAGGUGUAGCGGUGAAAUGCGUAGAUAUCUGGAGGAACACCGGUGGCGAAGGCGGCGUUCUGGACUGUCUCUGACACUGAGGAACGAAAGCCAGGGGAGCAAACGGG
rnacentral:rRNA from 1 species